GAAAUUUUGCUCUGAUUUUUAAUAGCAUAAAUAUAGCUCUUUGCUUCAGAAUUGGAGAGGUAGCUUGUUUGGAAGGUUGCUCAGGAUUGGUUCUGGAGGCAGGCGGAUUGGGAAAUGAAGAUAUCCUGUUCAUCUCUUCAACAUGUGGAAGGCAGUGCUCCUGGUUUUAUACGCAGUAUGGGCUGUAAGAGGAUUGGCAAAGGGUGCUCCUUUCCAACCAGAAGAAAAAUGGAAACCUUUAGAUAACCCUAGAAACCGAGACCUGUUUUUCAGAACGCUCCAGGCUUAUUUUUCGGGCAGGGGUCUUGAUCUCAGAAAGUUCCCAGCUACUUUCACGGUGAACAAUGAAGGACCAAGGCCCGUCAUGUUCUACUCAGAUCCUAUUGCUUCUGCAUUUGCAGAUUAUGAAGAAAGGAAAAAUUCUUUUCCGAAUUAUUUCAAAGGCUGAGAGAUAAUGCUGACCAAGGUGUUAACUUUUGAACUUCAUGUGAAGUGGUAACCUUCAGAGCAAAAUAUUACUGCUUUGACUUUUUAACAGUUAUCUGACAACUUAAAAUUUUCCUCACUAUCACAGUUUUUAUUUAUAAUAUCUGGCGUAUUACUGUAACUAGCACACUUGCUGUCUGUUAAUAAAUGUGCGAUGUUUGGCUACA
rnacentral:lncRNA from 1 species